UAAAGAUUAAAAAUAAAAAUCUUUGGGAGGGUGCUCCCAGAAUACGGCCGAUGGCGUCCUGAUAGACCAAACAUGGUAACAAUCGCCUGAGACGGUUCCGACCUCAUCGUUUCGAGCCCUACUUCGCCUCUGCGGGAAAAAUGCUGGUUCUUCUUGUAAUCCACAUAGUAGAGACCGAACCGAACAGUGUAUCCCAUGUUCCAUUCCCAGUUGUCGAGCAGUGACCACACAAAAUAACCACGCACGUCACAGUUGUCUUGCCUGCAUUGAUUGAGUUUUCUGUUAAGUUUGUGUGUACAAUGUUGGAGUUCUAGAAAUGUCACAAAAUAACCUCACAAAGAUAUCGAAGUGGGGAGUGGUUAUUACCUUAUAGCAGCAGAUAGGUUCGAGAGAUAGUCCCUGUGAAAGGUUAUCCUCUUUUCGUCGUUUAAAGCCUUUUCUAAAGGUGUCUUGCCAACUUUCGGAUGCCCCAUGGGACUAUGCGCAACCAGCGGGAAGCUGCCUGGAGGAGGAAGCACCGACGAGCUUUCUUAAAUAUGAAAUCAGUGACUGAAUUCAAGGUUUUAGGAAGGGUUUGAGACAUACUCUUUCUCCGAUUGCCACUCCUCCUUUGUAUGCUACAACGAAAGCCAGCGUUCAUUCCAUUCAAUUCCAUUCCGGUGAUCAUUCCAGCAACCAAACACUACAAGCGGGUACAAAGUGUUUUGUCAUCUUACGGGUUGAAAUGACUGCAGCAUCAGAUGUAGCAUCCUGCAUUAUGAACUUUCGAAUCCGAGUCCUGUCAUUUCGAGCAUAAUAUGUGGUGUAGUGGUUUAGGCCAACAAAGUCCAAGGUUCCAACCAGGAAAUUUGAGAUUUCCUGCGAAAUCUCUGGUAAUCUCUUAUCCACAAGCUUCUUCAUUGAAAGUGGAUAUUCGCCAAAAAAUAGUGGAUCAAGGAACCUGAUUCACUUUUCUGUGUUAUGCGUGUUUAUACAAUUUUUGGUGUCUGUGAUGCAUAGAACAUUUACAAAGAAAUUACCAUCCCAAUGAAAAAUCGAUUGCUCUGUGUGCUGCAUCUCUGUCCUCAUCAUUAUCAGAUACAGGCUCAUACCAUUUGGCAUCCAAUGAAAUUCCUACUUGGCCUCCUUGUGUCUCCUAGAUGGUUCAGUAAAACAACAUAAGUUCCAUGUGUCAUUUUCUUUAACAUAUGGCAUAAAGUUUACUAGUUGAGUUAGGAAGUAUAAUUAUACAGAAAUGAGGGUACCUUGAAAAAUUGCCGGUAACUAUGAUAAGCGGCAGCAUGAGACAGGAGGAUGUUGUGAGCAACAAUGUACGGUUCAGCAGAUGAAUUUCCCUUCUUACAAAACAAAUGGCCAAGAAUAGAACAUCUCCCCGGAGCUUGUAUGCCCAAGUCAUAACCUUGGAGUGCAUUACCAUGAGGCUCGUUGAAGGUGAUCCAAUUCUUAACUCUGUCACCAAAGGUUUUGAAGCAGGUGAAGGCAUAAUGUUCAAAGUCUUUUCUGUAAGCAAGUGAGGUAAAUGAUAAGUUUUUUUCAGCAUUUUCAAAUCCUUUUCUGCAGCUGUUUGAUACUUACAUUAUGUUUGCACUCAACCACCCUUCGUAUCUGUCUUCAAGCGCUUGUGGAAGAUCCCAGUGAUAUAGAGUUACAAAAGGUUAUUUUCGAAAGCAGUAAGUAAUCAGAAGACAGUGAGGUAGAGAAAAGGAAAAUCUGGACAGAAUCAAAUCUUACUUGGAAAAAUUCUUGGCCACGAUAUUGAGAAUCUCGCCCUCAAACUACACCACAUACAAGACCCCAUGAAUGGUUAAACUGCUAUUUGACAUGCAAGCUCUGUCGAGAUAUUGAAACCGAAACAAAGGAAUACCUGGUGUGCUGAAGAAGCUGUUCCGAAAACAAACCCGUCGGGGAAAUCAGCUCUGCCAAGAGAUUCCGCGUUUGCGAAGAGCCUGGCUAUCAAAACCAGGACGAGGCAUAGCCUCAUGGCGAAGUCUUGAGGUUAGCUUCCAGCUUCAUGGAGGAUUAUGAAUUUAUAGAGGAAGUAGAAUAAUAAGCUAGCUUAAUUUUAAAGUGAAGGAUAUGAUCCCAUUCCUCACCAAAUUAAAAUAAAAAAUUAAUUAAAAAAAAAAAAGAUUCAAAAAUAUGUUGGAGGCAGAAUUGGGCAAAAGGGUUCGAUUGCGCUGGAAGGUGACGUGGGGAGGUUGGCCGUUCUUUGUGUGCACGUUACAAACGAUAAAUUUGGAAAUUCAGGCGCUCCUCAGAGGAAGCAACUUUCAUGUUUGAACGUACUUUAAAGGUUUUUGUUUCAAAUAUUAUUGUCACUUAGUAGUUACGGUCUAACUGUAUUUAUUCUACUUGAAAUUAUGAGGUCUUAGAAUCGAGUUAUUUGCUGGA